rnacentral:rRNA from 1 species
GCAUGGUUCUUGGCUGAAAGAUGGCGUAAGCUAUCGCUUUUGGAUGGACCCGCGGCGUAUUAGCUAGUUGGUGAGGUAACGGCUCACCAAGGCAAUGAUACGUAGCCGAACUGAGAGGUUGAUCGGCCACAUUGGGACUGAGACACGGCCCAAACUCCUACGGGAGGCAGCAGUAGGGAAUCUUCCACAAUGGACGCAAGUCUGAUGGAGCAACGCCGCGUGAGUGAAGAAGGCUUUCGGGUCGUAAAACUCUGUUGUUGGAGAAGAAUGGUCGGCAGAGUAACUGUUGUCGGCGUGACGGUAUCCAACCAGAAAGCCACGGCUAACUACGUGCCAGCAGCCGCGGUAAUACGUAGGUGGCAAGCGUUAUCCGGAUUUAUUGGGCGUAAAGCGAGCGCAGGCGGUUUUUUAAGUCUGAUGUGAAAGCCCUCGGCUUAACCGAGGAAGUGCAUCGGAAACUGGGAAACUUGAGUGCAGAAGAGGACAGUGGAACUCCAUGUGUAGCGGUGAAAUGCGUAGAUAUAUGGAAGAACACCAGUGGCGAAGGCGGCUGUCUGGUCUGUAACUGACGCUGAGGCUCGAAAGCAUGGGUAGCGAACAGGAUUAGAUACCCUGGUAGUCCAUGCCGUAAACGAUGAAUGCUAGGUGUUGGAGGGUUUCCGCCCUUCAGUGCCGCAGCUAACGCAUUAAGCAUUCCGCCUGGGGAGUACGACCGCAAGGUUGAAACUCAAAGGAAUUGACGGGGGCCCGCACAAGCGGUGGAGCAUGUGGUUUAAUUCGAAGCAACGCGAAGAACCUUACCAGGUCUUGACAUCUUUUGAUCACCUGAGAGAUCAGGUUUCCCCUUCGGGGGCAAAAUGACAGGUGGUGCAUGGUUGUCGUCAGCUCGUGUCGUGAGAUGUUGGGUUAAGUCCCGCAACGAGCGCAACCCUUAUGACUAGUUGCCAGCAUUUAGUUGGGCACUCUAGUAAGACUGCCGGUGACAAACCGGAGGAAGGUGGGGAUGACGUCAAAUCAUCAUGCCCCUUAUGACCUGGGCUACACACGUGCUACAAUGGAUGGUACAACGAGUUGCGAGACCGCGAGGUCAAGCUAAUCUCUUAAAGCCAUUCUCAGUUCGGACUGUAGGCUGCAACUCGCCUACACGAAGUCGGAAUCGCUAGUAAUCGCGGAUCAGCACGCCGCGGUGAAUACGUUCCCGGGCCUUGUACACACCGCCCGUCACACCAUGAGAGUUUGUAACACCCGAAGCCGGUGGCGUAACCCUUUUAGGGAGCGAGCCGUCUAAGGUGGGACAAAUGAUUAGGGUGAAGUCGUAACAAGGUAGCCGUAGGAGAACCUGCGGCUG